UUGUAAAUACUCAUUUGCAUUCAAAAUAACAUAUAGGAUACUUUUAUUACGAAAAAAUUUACAUAACCUUUCAAACACAAGACGGGCUUAAUAAAUAGUUUUGACAUCGUAUUUUCUGAUUGCUGAUUUAUAAAAGCAUCGAAGAAAGACUAUCUGUGUUUUUUUAAUAGAUAAUAAUCGUGUCUAAUCGUAUCGUGCUAACUGAAACGAUUGCUCAGUUACUGCGCGAUUGCAUUUAUAGUAUAAAGUACUUGUCAUAGAUACGUGUGCAGUGUGGGUUGUGUUGACUACUUUGUCCAAAAAGCUGCUGCGCGGGGUUGUGCGAACUCCCUGUGUAAUUAAAAAGACGUCCUCUUAAGCCGAAGGGCCUAAAUUUUCGUCGCAACGUCGAAAUGCUUUAGGGGCUGUUUACAUGCAUGAUUCCCGGGACGGGAAGGUUUGCUUGAAAAAUCAACUCAGAGGUAAAACGACUAGCAUUGGCCUGUCUAUCAACAUGAGCGGAGCAAAUACAGAGUUUGAUAUAAUAUUCAAAUAAUGUCCGGAAAAAAAUCAGAUGAAAAUGAAAUUUGACCGGAAAUUUUGUCGGACAUUUCUACUUUAUUUUGACUCCCGACGUCCGUUGGGCGGUAAAUCAAGUCUCCGCAAUAAAUAAUAAUUUAAUUGCCAAACACCACUACUAUAUACAAUUUAAAGUUGUGUAUUCUUUGCGGGACGAUCAGAGACAACUGAUUGCUAUUUUUUGUCCGGACAAACUGUCCAACCAAUUUAGCAUAUGUCCGACUGUUAUUUCAGACUCUCAUGAAAUAGUUGCUGUAUGCCUGAUCAAAACAAAGAAUUUUCCUGUGAAAUUUCCCCUGCAAUGUUAGAAUGUUGAUAUGAAAGACUAAUAUGGGGGGCUAUAUAAGGCAGAUGGUUUAUUUUACUCUACAAUGGGCUUAAUA